UGUGGCGGGGUACAUUAUCCUGCAGAAAGAGGCCACUGCCAUCAGGGAACACCUUUGCAAUGGUAGGUGGUAUGUGUCAAAGUAGGGUAACAUCCACAUGAAUGCCAGGACCUGCAUCUGCUGUCAUCUCUUCCCCAGGUGGAGGCUCAUCACUGUUUUUCAUUAUUUUGAGCUACAGUACUUCUCCUGUGUGAUUGGACCAGAGAGACUAGCCUUCGCUCCCCAUGUGCAUCAUGGAAGCGGACUCCAGCAAGCAUCCUGGAGUUAAAUUUUCCACCUCAACACACAAGCCUAAUGGGGCCUCAUCAAAGCCACCAGAUCCAGUCUGUAUCCAAGUCAGAGGGUCACUGCAGUCACCCGGAUCCAGUAUGUAUCCAGCCCAGAUGGUGGAUCAGCACCUAGAAAGGACCUCUACAGCCCUGAAAGACAGCGGAGACCAGGAC
ensembl:lncRNA